CCUAACCUUAACCAUUUAACCUAACUGUCACGUCUACACCCUCUCCCCCUCUCCGGUGCUCGACAUAACCGGUCCUGGAAACCCAUCAUUAUGCACACCUGGAAAUCCUUAUUACGCACACCUGCGCCACUUUAUGAGGUACACCUGGACUCCAUCGUUAUCCUAAUUACUACCCCUUUAUCUAGCACUCCCUAGCAUCACUCUUCAGGCAGUAUUGGUUUUGUUUCCUUGUCCUUUGCCAUCACCAUAACCAGCUGGCAAAACUGGGAACAGCUAUGGAUGAGGUCCUCCGCAUUCUUCAAGGUUUUGACAUUUCCGGAGUGGCAUCACUUCCAACAGGUGGAGGAUUCUCUAUCACAUGUCGACCAGCCCAGCGAGCCAGCACCCCAGACCAUCCAACAGUCCGCCAAGGUCUGUGAUGCCCGUUUGUCACUCCCAGACAAAUAUGACGGGUCUCCAUACAAAUUACGUUGCUUCCUACUUCAGUGCUCCCUAUAUUUCACUCACCAGAUGUGAGCCCCCACCACCGAGAGGUCCAAGGUUGCCACGGUUAUUUCCCUGCAUUGGAGUGGGCUACGGCCAUCUGGGAGAGAGGAGGAGGAGCUGAGUUCCUGUGAGGGGUUCAUGGCUUUGUUCAGGGGGUCUUCGACCAUCCACCGGAGGACAGAGAGCAGGGUGAGUACCUACUCCAACUACGACAGGAUGGCCAGACAACGACGGAGUAUGCUCUUCGGACAGUGGCAGCAUCCAGCGGAUGGAAUGAGCCGGCGCUCUGCACACUAUUCUGUCUGGAUAACCUUCUUCGGGAGCGUUGGCACCCCCAUCGCCUCUCUCCCUCCUUCCUUGACCGUCAGAGCCUGAACCCAUGGAUGUAGGGGCCACACCUCCCCGCAGCUGAGUGAGGCUGUUGUAGACAGUUUGGGCCCUGCUCCUAUUGUGGCCAGGAGGGGCACCAGCUUCAACAGCGUCCGGGAACGUCACAUCCCGGAAUCCACGAGAGCAGAGGGACGGCCCCGUGAUCAUCCGUCUCCUUGGUUAGGCCUCUAGUGGAUUCUGAUGCUACAGGACAUUUUAUUGACCAGGCCCUUGCCUCCUCCCUGCAUGUCACCUCAUACCCGCUCUCCUCUCAGUUUUUG
ensembl:lncRNA